UGACUCCACUUUAACACAAACAGCUAAAUAUUGACAAAAGGCACGAGUAUGCACAAAAUGCGAAUUCUGAUAAAUUGUUAAUUUAAAUAAAACAAUGCAAUAGUGCACAUAGCUUAUUUUAAUAAUCCCCCGAAUAUUUAUCUUGCACUUUCCAAGCACGCUCCCCAGCACCGCGCGACGCUUCUUCGGACAUUGCGAGACUGAAAGGCUGUGGACCGCUCGCAUCUGCGCGAGACCUUGACCCACAUCGUUGUUUACAGCUGAGGCGUGCUGGAUUGGCGGAGAGACGGCGGAGAUCGGAAGUAGUUUGUGCAUGCUAAUGAAGGAGUUGGGGAUAUUUACGUUCAACGGGAGCCGCCCUUCAUUCACCACAUGGUUAAAAGCGGAGCACGUUCGCGCCACUUUCGCAAUGUUACUACGGUUUUGUAACGCUACCCACGGCGUGCGCUGGUGGUGUAUUUCUACCGCUAGAAGUUCACCGUUUAGUUUCGACAGUGAGCGAAAAACCAUCGACCUCCUCCAGUCACCUUAUAGCGGAGUCCACAUUAUUGGCAUGAAACUAACGCCAUCCCAAAGAUGGAUCUGCGCUGGUCAGCUGCGUGUCGGCGUAGUGUCAAAGUGCUUACAGUGCAGGUAGUUCUGUAAAAUCUACUGCAGUGGAGGCACUUCAAGCUCUACUUUGACAUGAACGCACACGAGCGGCGACGUCAACUACUGCUUAUGCUAAGGUGCAUUUAGUGCAGAUAGUGAAAUAGACUAGCACCUACUGCCCUAAGUGCCCCUUCUGGCAUAAGGGGCUGGCAAAUCCCGCUGUCCCCUAUUCUUUGAUUUCAUUGCAGUUCUCUGCUAGUUUUGCAUAGUUGCACUACAAGAAAUAUUGAGUUGUGCAAAUCUAUGCAAAACUGAUGGUGGCCUGCUUCCCCAUCCUUUCCUGUGCUUUUGAGCGGCUUUUGCUUUAGCGUGCAUUCUUUCCAGGUUAACCCCUGUUUGUCGCGGCUCUGCGCUGUGAAACUCUCACUCUGGUUCCAGCAGUAUUAAAGUGCUUAUAGUGCAGGUAGUUUAUUAAAAUGCAUAUCUACUGCAAUGUGAGCACUUCAAGUACUUCUAGAUGCGAGCAUCGCGGAGAGAGAGCGUCACGCUUUCCUGUGCACACUGUCCUGGUUCGUUUUGCUGGUUUGCAGUCAGCGUUCGUGUCGUUGCUGUGCAAAUCCAUGCAAAACUGAUCAUAACAGUGAGGACUCUCCGCUUCCCGUCACUUUCCAGCAUCCCUUUCUUUGCAGGUUGGGAUCAGCCGCAAUGCUCUGCGCUGGAAGUAUUGCACUUGUCCCGGCCUGUGAAGAGCAUGGGAAAUUGUUCAGCUGCUUUUGUGUUCUUUAAUACAUUUAGACAAGUUUUUUUUUUUUUUUCCUGAUUUGU
ensembl:lncRNA